GGAAUGUUUGGGAAAUCCUGGGUUACCUAGAUUUCCUUCCGAAGAGAGUGCUUUGUAGAACAUGAACACAUGCUGUGGGUCUCUGAGAGGGGGCUACAGAAUACACCCCUUCCCUCCAUUUUGUGACCACAGAAUCUUUUUUUCCUCCUCUAAGUAUCCCAAGAGACUGUGGAUUCGUGCAGCUGAGAAACACUGAGCUAAAGUAUUCAUCAGAGAAAAGCACUACGUGUGGAAUCAUUUUCACCUUCGAGCCAGGCUUCUGGCUUCAGACUGGAUCCUCUCAGCCUUUUGUCAUGUGGGUGGGUGGCCCCAUUCCCCAUUUGAAGGUAGAACUGGAUGGAACAGAGAAUGGCCAACAGUCCACUCCAGAAGCUCAACACGGGGCACUGGGCCUUUGGGAAGAUAUUUAUUGAGCACCUAUUGGGUGCCAUCAGUUUGCUCAGGAGCUUUGUAGAAGGAGCCCUGUAAGAGAUGCGUAUUCCAGGCGCACAGUCAGAAGCCAGCCAGACAAGCCCAGAAAGGAGUACCACAUUGAUUCAUGACCAGACCUGCCGAUUUCCCACUCAUCCUAAUCAUUCUUCUAAGGAGGGGCUCCAGGCUGCUGGAGAAGCCAGUACCUUGCGCGUUGCAGUUGCCAGAAAGAGGGAAGAAGUCAGUGGCCAAGUAUGCCAGCUCUUAUCACCUACCCAUCUGCUCACAUUUUAUUGGCUAAAGCAAGUCAUGAAGGUAUCUUCACUUCUCGUGAGCAGCAGAGGGCAGGCGGCAGCAUGCAGCCUGCAGAGAGAGCUGGGCUAUUUGUGA
rnacentral:lncRNA from 1 species